rnacentral:rRNA from 1 species
GAUGAACGCUAGCUACAGGCUUAACACAUGCAAGUCGAGGGGAAACGAUAUUGAAAGCUUGCUUUCUUUAGGCGUCGACCGGCGAAUGGGUGAGUAACGCGUAUCCAACCUGCCCCUGAGUAAGGGAUAGCCCAUCGAAAGAUGGAUUAAUACCUUAUGGUUUCCUUUGAAGGCAUCAGAUUAGGAAUAAAGAUUUAUCGCUGAGGGAUGGGGAUGCGUCUGAUUAGCUUGUUGGCGGGGUAACGGCCCACCAAGGCGACGAUCAGUAGCCGGCCUGAGAGGGCGGACGGCCACAUUGGGACUGAGACACGGCCCAAACUCC